UGAUCGCCAUUUGAGACCUUCCCAGCUGGCUUCUGACAAGCAAAGUCAAUGGGGGAAGCUGAAUUUGCUUAACAACCACGUGAUUCACUUAAUGGCUACAGUGUUUCCCUUAACGACUGCAGCAAAAAAGGUCAUAAAGUCGGGUGUGACUCACUUAACGACCACCUUGCUUAACGAUGGCGGUUCCAGUCCCCUUGUGGUCAUAAGUCGAGGACUACCUGUAAUCAGAGGCUUUGAACUUCACCAACUUAGCUUCUCCUCCAGGUCCUUGGGCCUCACAAACUUGCUACUCAUGACUGCCAGCAAAAGUGAGCUUGGUGGACUUAUGGAGGCAGCCUUCUCUCUCCAGGCUACCGGCAAACUCAACAAACACUCGAUAUCAGUGUGUUACCAGUAUUUGUGGUUGUGGUUGUUCAGGUAAUGAGGCCCUAAGCACUGAAUCAAUUUUUAAUAAAGCUGGAGUA